GCUGCAAUUACAGAUCUGACACCAAAAUACUUCGAUAAACGUUAGAAAGAAAGACGAAUAAGAGCAGUAAUGGACAAUGAGCGAGCCCCCUUCAACACCUUAUUGAAGCUUUCAGAUAGAUUGGUAUUCAUUAUUCUAUACUUACAUCCACCUGUGUCAUGCACCAACGCCUAUUUACUUAGAUCAUCAAGUGGAUAUAUUUUUAGAUAUUGAAAGCAGUUGGGCCAUGUUCUCUCAAUAUAUUGCAUGCUUCGAUCAAACUUCUAUAGUUGAUUUUGCUUUGCAAUUUGAUAAAAAUAAGCUAAAAAUAUAGUAUCAUGAAAUUGACUAUUUAAAUUAGCCUCAAUAUGUCGAGAAGACAUAAUCUAUGAUAUCCAUAUGGUGCUAUCCAUCCAACAGAUUGAUCUGAAAUAGCAGCUAAUAUUUCUUUUUGUCGGUCUGAAAUUAUACCAAUCCCCAUACGAUCACGUGCCACAUAAUAGCGUAAACACCAUAAAAACUAUAAUCAACUACUACGAUUCUCGCCUUCAUAAAUGGCAAAUGUUAGAAAAUAGAUACUUCCAUUUCUAUCAUUUUCCAUAGCUAUUAGGAGAGUACCCUUAUAUCGACCAUACAGAUGUAUUGUAUCGAUACUAAUCAGUAGGCGACAGAACUGGAAGCCCUGAAUACAUGGUCCAAAUGCCCAAAAAACUCGAUGGAACACUUCUGUAUUUGCAUAUGUUGUAGAAAAUUUUACAAAAUGUACCACAGUCCCUUCAUUGGCAC
rnacentral:lncRNA from 1 species